rnacentral:rRNA from 1 species
AGAGCGAACGCUGGCGGCAGGCCUAACACAUGCAAGUCGAGCGCCCGUAGCAAUACGGGAGCGGCAGACGGGAUAGUAACACGUGGGAACGCGCCCUUCGGUUCGGAAUAACUCAGGGAAACUUGAGCUAAUACCGGAUACGCCCUUACGGGGAAAGAUUUAUUGCCGAAGGAACGGCCCGCGUCCGAUUAGCUAGUUGGUGAGGUAAUGGCUCACCAAGGCGACGAUCGGUAGCUGGUCUGAGAGGAUGACCAGCAUCACUGGGACUGAGACACGGCCCAGACUCCUACGGGAGGCAGCAGUGGGGAAUAUUGGACAAUGGGCGCAAGCCUGAUCCAGCCAUGCCGCGUGGAUGAUGAAGGCCUUAGGGUUGUAAAGUCCGUUUUAACGGGGAAGAUAAUGACGGUACCCGUAGAAGUAAGCCCGGCUAACUUCGCGCCAGCAGCCGC